UACGUAGGGUGCGAGCGUUGUCCGGAUUUAUUGGGCGUAAAGAGCUCGUAGGCGGUUUGUCGCGUCGUUCGUGAAAACUCCACGCUUAACGUGGAGCGUGCGGGCGAUACGGGCAGACUUGAGUUCGGUAGGGGAGACUGGAAUUCCUGGUGUAGCGGUGAAAUGCGCAGAUAUCAGGAGGAACACCGGUGGCGAAGGCGGCUCUCUAGUACGGUACUGACGCUGAGACGCGAAAGCGUGGGGAGCGAACAGG
rnacentral:rRNA from 1 species